rnacentral:other from 1 species
UUAUUCCUGGGGUGUUCGUCAAUAUGGUGACGUCCCUGAGCCGAUAAUUGCAAUACCGGCGAUCUUGCUUGUUACUAUUGUGCAGGCUCAGCAUGUACUGAGAAGCCUACGGUAACCACAGGAUCACCACCUUGAGCCAUAGGGUUCAAGGGCUAAUACCAUGUAACGGCACUCUGGGAACCCU